AUACGGAGGAUCCAAGCGUUAUCCGGAUUCAUUGGGGUUAAAGGGUCCGUAGGCGGGUUUGUAAGUCAGUGGUGAAAGUUUUCGGCUCAACCGGAAAAUUUCCAUUGAUACUGCAAGUCUUGAAUCAUUAUGAAGUGGUUAGAAUGUGUAGUGUAGCGGUGAAAUGCAUAGAUAGUACACAGAAUACCGAUUGCGAAGGCAGAUCACUAAUAAUGUAUUGACGCUAAGGGACGAAAGCGUGGGUAGCGAACAGGAUUAGAAACCCUGGUAGUCC
rnacentral:rRNA from 1 species